ACUCAAAUGAAUAGACGGGGACCCGCACAACUGGUGGAGCGUGUGGUUUAAUUCGAGACAAAGCGAAACACCUUACCAGGGCUUGACAUGCUACCGUUUUAUACUUUAGGAAACUUUAGUAGAUCCGUAAGGAUGGUAGCACAGGUGAUGCAUGGCUGUCGUCAGCUCGUGUCGUGAGAUGUUCCCUUAAGUGGGGAAACGAGCGCAACCCCCGCGAAAUGUUACAUAUUCAUUUCGGACGGUCCCGAUCAUAUCGGGAAGGAAGGAGGGGAAGACGUCAAGUCAGCACGUCCCUUAUGCCCUGGGUUACACACACCCUACAAUGGCGAAUAACAAAGAGCAGCAAGUCGGCGACGACAAGCAAAUCUCUAAAAUUUCGCCUCAGUUCAGAUUGGAGUCUGCAACCCGACUCCAUGAAGGCGGAAUCAGUAGUAAUCGCAGAUCAGCAGGCUGCGGUGAAUACGUUCUCGGGUCUUGCACACACCGCCCGU
rnacentral:rRNA from 1 species